AGCCAUGCCAGUAAGCACAGAGCGAACUAUUCUUUCGCCUUUUACUAAAGAAUACCGUGUGCUUGCUGCUUUUAAGUGGCAUACUUUUAAGUGGCAUACGCCUAUUUUUGGAGAGAAUUUUCUAUAUUGAAAAGC
rnacentral:snRNA from 2 species